rnacentral:rRNA from 1 species
GAUGAACGCUGGCGGCGUGCUUAACACAUGCAAGUCGAACGGAAAGGUCUCUUUCGGGGGGUAUUCGCGUUGCGAACGGGCGGGUAACACGCGAGUAAGCAGCCCUCGUCUUUGGGUUAAAUCCAGGCAAAUGGGGGUAAUACCGGACAGGUGAUCCUUCUGCACGGUGGGGGUUGGAGAGAUUCGGGGGUUGGGUAUGGGUUCUCGGCUUAUCAGCUCGUUGGUGGGGGGGUGGUUUACCAAGGCUUUGACGGGUAGCCGGCCCGAGAGGGUGAUCGGCCACAUUGGGACUGAGGGACGGCCCAGACUCCUACGGGAGGCAGCAGUGGGGAAUAUUGCACAAUGGGUGGAAGCCUGAUGCAGCAACGCCGUGUGCGGGAUGACGGCCUUCGGGUUGUAAACCGCUUUCGCUCAUGACGAAGCUUUGUGUGACGGUAGUGGGUAAAGAAGCACCGGCUAACUACGUG